rnacentral:ncRNA from 1 species
AUCAUGAGUCCCAACGCGAAGCUCUGGCUGGUUGGGCGGCAACCCUCUCCCGUGGCGGGGUGCCCCAGAUGACGAUCCGGUCGCGGGCGCAUUCGCCGGCGGCAAGUACGG